UGGGAAGUCCAGCUGGCACAACAAACAGGUUUCGCUAUUCAAUCUGUACGUAGCCUUGGUCUACCACCACUCUUUCUUUCAGGCUUACGGUUAUAACUGGUUUAUUAGCUGCCCAGAUACUAGAUUUAUUGAUGAGACACCAUUUAGCAUGGGAUGAGACGAAGGGAAUUCCCACGAAUGAAGGAGGCGGAGAUCUGUCUCCUAGAUGAAAUGGUAUCGGCACAGACAGACUUUCUCUCAUAGCAAGCUAUAGUCUGUGAAAUAACAUUGUUUUACUGAAAGGUAGAAUAAAUGCAAAAAAGA